rnacentral:tRNA from 1 species
UGCCCUGUAGCUCAAUCGGCAGAGCAGCGGAUUGUUAAUCCGCAGGUUGCAGGUUCGAUUCCUGCCAGGGUAGCCA